rnacentral:rRNA from 1 species
UACGCUGGCGGCACGCCUAACACAUGCAAGUCGAACGAAGUAGCAAUACUUAGUGGCAGACGGGUGAGUAACAUGUAGGUAUCUGCCCUUUGGCCUGGAAUAACACGAGGAAACUUGUGCUAAUACCGGAUAAGUCUUUACGGAGAAAGCUUUAUGCACCAUUGGAUGAGCCUGCACUUGAUUAGUUUGUUGGUGGGGUAAUGGCCUACCAAGACUGUGAUCAAUAGCUGAUUUGAGAGGAUGAUCAGCCACAUUGGGACUGAGACACGGCCCAAACUCCUACGGGAGGCAGCAGUGGGGAAUCUUGCACAAUGGAGGAAACUCUGAUGCAGCGAUGCCGCGUGAGUGAAGAAGGCCUUUGGGUUGUAAAGCUCUUUCGUCGGGGAAGAAAAUGACUGUACCCGAAUAAGAAG